rnacentral:misc_RNA from 1 species
GUGUGCUGCUGCUCACCCAUUUCUGCAACUGAGCGUUGCUGUGAGCGUAUCAAUCUCUCGUAGAAGAAGCACUCCCUCGUGAUUGCGCUUCUAUUGAGCUUUACACAUUCUGAAUUUUAUUUAUAAAGCUUCCUUAAGCUUUGCAAGAGCAAGAGCUGCUCAUCUCCUAGCUAGUUGUGACUCUUUCUUUGCUGUAACUCGGUGCUCAUCAACAAUGACUGUCACACCCAAGAUUUCAAUCAACGAUGGGAACCUUGUGGUUCAUGGGAAGACCAUUUUAACUGGAGUGCCAGACAACAUCAUCUUGACUCCUGGAUCGGGUGUGGGACUCGUUGCUGGUGCAUUUAUUGGUGCCACUGCUUCUCAUAGCAAAAGUCUCCAUGUCUUUCCUGUUGGCGUUUUAGAAGGUCUUCGUUUUAUGUGUUGUUUCCGUUUCAAGUUAUGGUGGAUGACCCAGAGGAUGGGCAUUUGUGGGAAAGACAUUCCUUUGGAGACCCAGUUCAUGCUAGUGGAAAGUAGGGAUGGUGGUGAAGGAGUUCAGGAUGAUGCCCAGACUAUUUACACCGUCUUCCUUCCUCUACUUGAAGGCCAGUUCCGUGCUGUUCUGCAAGGCAAUGAAAAGAAUGAGAUGGAGAUCUGCCUUGAGAGCGGUGAGUUGAUCAUAGCCAUCAUAAAGUGGCUGGUGCACCCUGCCCAUGAAUCAAAUCUUCAUUAAUUCAGUUUCAUCUUGUCGGCUGUUGGUGAUGGAGACAAACAUGCUGAAUAUGCGUUGGAGUUGUCAUUGAUGCCAACACAAGCAUGCUUGAGAACCAGUCAUUGACUGUCCCAUCCAAAUGAAUCAAAUUUAUGGAGUUUAUAUCAAUUCAGGAAGAAAUAGAUUAGGAGGUUCCAGUUCGAAAGAACCAAAACGAUGUGUUUCUUUUGGUGUGUGAUUUGGUUUUGCAGGGGAUGAUACUGUUGAAACUAAGCAGGGCCUUUACCUAGUCUACAUGCAUGCUGGGACCAACCCAUUUGAAGUUAUCAGCCAAGCUGUAAAGGCUUUGGAAAAACACAUGCAAACUUUUCUUCAUCGAGAGAAGAAAAAGUUGCCGUCUUUCCUUGACUGGUUUGGCUGGUGCACUUGGGAUGCAUUUUACACUGAUGUCACAGCUGAGGGUGUUGAGGAAGGCCUUAAAAGCCUAUCAGAGGGAGGGACUCCUCCACGAUUUUUGAUCAUAGAUGAUGGUUGGCAACAGAUUGAAAACAAGCCCAAGGAAGAUACUAAUGCUGUUGUGCAAGAAGGAGCACAAUUUGCAAGAAGGCUCACUGGAAUAAAGGAGAAUGCAAAAUUUCAGAAGAAUGGUGAAAAUACUGAGGAGGCCAGAGGACUAAAGCAUGUUGUGGAAGAUGCCAAGAAAUGUCACAAUGUGAAGUUUGUAUAUGUAUGGCAUGCUUUAGCUGGUUACUGGGGUGGAGUAAAACCAGCAGCUGCUGGUAUGGAGCAUUAUGACACUGCAUUGGCAUAUCCAGUUCAGUCUCCUGGUAUAUUAGGCAACCAACCGGACAUUGUCAUGGAUAGUCUCUCUGUCCAUGGCCUUGGUUUGGUGCAUCCCAAGAAGGUUUUCGAUUUCUAUAAUGAGCUUCAUGCCUACUUGGCCUCAUGUGGUGUGGAUGGAGUAAAAGUUGAUGUUCAGAACAUCAUUGAGACCCUUGGUGCUGGUCAUGGUGGAAGAGUUUCCCUCACCCGCAGCUAUCACCAAGCUCUUGAGGCUUCGGUUGGACGAAACUUCCCUGACAAUGGAUGUAUCGCAUGCAUGUGCCAUAACACCGAUGGGAUCUACAGUGCCAAGCAGACUGCUGUUGUGAGAGCUUCUGAUGACUUCUAUCCUAGGGACCCUGCUUCGCACACCAUUCAUAUUUCCUCUGUGGCUUACAACACAAUUUUCCUUGGAGAAUUUAUGCAACCUGACUGGGAUAUGUUCCAUAGUUUACAUCCUGCUGCAGAUUAUCAUGGAGCAGCUCGUGCUAUUGGUGGGUGUCCAAUCUAUGUCAGUGAUAAGCCUGGCAACCACAACUUUGAGCUACUGAAGAAGCUGGUCCUUCCUGAUGGAUCAAUUCUGCGUGCCCAACUUCCUGGCAGGCCUACUCGUGAUUCUCUCUUUGUCGAUCCAGCAAGAGACGGUACCAGCUUGCUGAAGAUAUGGAAUGUGAACAAAUGCACUGGUGUGGUUGGUGCUUUUAACUGCCAAGGUGCUGGUUGGUGCAAGAUUGAAAAGAAGACCCGCAUUCAUGAUGCUUCUCCUGGUACCCUCACUGGCUCUGUUCGUGCCACUGAUGUGGACUGUAUUGCUCAAGUUGCUGGUGCAGAUUGGAAUGGGGAGACAAUAGUAUAUACCCAUAAAUCAGGGGAGGUGGUUCGGUUACCUAAAGGUGCUUCAAUGCCAGUGACACUGAAAGUUCUUGACUAUGAACUCUUCCAUUUCUGUCCAAUCAUGGAGAUCACUUCCAACAUUUCAUUUGCACCAUUUGGGUUGCUUGACAUGUUCAACACAGGUGGUGCUGUGGAUCAGUUGGAAAUUAAGGUGGCUUCUGACAAGAAACCAGAGCACUUUGAUGGUGAGGUCUGCUCAGAGAUUACUACUUUACUCAGUGAAAAUCGGUCUCCAACUGCAACCAUUUCACUAAAAGUUAGAGGAUGCGGACGUUUCGGGGCAUACUCUUCGCAGCGCCCACUGAAAUGCUUAGUGGAUGAUGCUGAAACUGACUUCAACUAUGACUCUGAUACUGGACUAGUGACCCUGACUCUCCCUGUACCAGAGGAGGAGAUGUAUAGGUGGACUUUGGAGAUCCAAGUUUAGGGAACGCCUGGAGUAAUUUGAAGUGAUGGUAUCAAAUAUGAACUAGAAUAUCACCAUUUUUAGGAGGGGGUAGGGAAAGCUUUAAAUAAUAAGCUUUUUGCAUGCAGGUAAUCGAAGUGAUGCUCAUGCACCCCAAAAGAUGGGGCGAGAGAGAUACCGUAGAUUGGGGAUCCUAGGUCUAUGAUGACGGUGGUGAUGUUGUGUUUCAUCUAUUGGCAAUAAGUGUUUUUCAUGGCAAUUUUCUGAUUUCCAUUUUAUAUUUCAGUUGCAAUGAUGAAUUUCCCAUUAUCUCUCAGUUUAUUGUUGAGAAAUGUGAGCAAAGGGAAGCCAUAUCAGUAAGCAUGUUUCAUCAUAGUCUUGUUUAUCCAGAAAACUACACCUUGGUAAAUAAAAAAGCAUUGAAAAAUGAGAUGGAGAUCGCUACCCGAUCUAUAUUGAAAACAUUUUACCAGUAAUCUCUGCAGGAACAUGUUCCAUUGACAAAUUUAUGGAAACGAACCCGAUCCCUUACAAUAAUUUCCCGGUUAUAAACUUUACUGAUAAUUUUCGUCACUUCAUGGCAGUCCCAACAAACUGUCAGAUUCUUAACUAUCCUAAUUGCUGCUGGUGCUUUAGUCUUCAGCAGGCCAUAAGCGAUGGCCAGCCUCUCACUGUGCUCAGACAGAGAAUUCUCUUUCUCUUCAUCAUCCACAUUGUGCAGCACAGAAGACACACAUGGCUCAUACCCAGUACUAUGAAUCCUCACAGAUACAUCCUUCAGAGUUCUUUUUAUUUCCUCUGCCUCAGGGUGUGACCAAUCACCCAUUACAAAUUCAUGCAAAAAGCCAUCAAUCUCAAUAGAGGUGCAUCCGGGCACUGCCUUGAUGCCUUUUUCCUUCAUCUUCUUUCUCACAUGGCUCAUCUUCUCCCACUGUGAAACAGUGGCAUACAAAUUUGAUAGAAUGAUAUAAUUUUCUGCAUUUAGUGGUUCUAGUUCAAGUAGCUGCUCGGCAACAAUUUCAGCUUGUUGUAACAUCCUACUUUUCUUGUAGCCCACAAGUAACGUUCGCCAUAUUACUGGAUUUGGUGAGGGCGUGGAUAGCGCAAAAUUGUAGGCCUCGUCAACAAGGCCUCCACGGCAUAGUAAAUCAACCAUACAACCAUAAUGCUCCAUUGAAGGUUCUAUUCCCAAUUCAAGCAUUCUUGACCAAUGUCUCUUUCCUUCUGAAACUAGUCCACCACGGGCGCAUGCAGAUAAAAUACCAAUGAAGGUUACAUGGUUCGGCUUGGCCUGAAAAGAUAUAACCAAGAUUAUUUCCUGACACCUACAAAAAUUUAUAACAAUAAUUUAACUCAUCACAAGGCCAGCUCAAUCUGUCAUGUUUAUAUGCAUGACAAUACUCAUUUAUGUUUGCUUGACCUGUUUUAUGGAUCUUAGUUAAAAACUAAAAGAACUUGAAUUAAUGAUCCUAUUUUGCACAAGACUAGCUUGACAUUUGAUUAAACUUGCGCGGUUAUAUCUCUAAAUUGCUAAGCUCUCUUGGCUUUGUUCAUAAACACUGUUAGACUUACUCUUGCUAACUCAUUACCUUUGCUUCUUCCAUCCUUGAAAAUACCUCUAAUGCAUCCUCUGCAAGUCCAUGAAUGGCCAAGCCAACAAUCAUUGAGCUCCAAGCUUUACUAUCCUUUACUGGCAUCUCAUCAAAAAUUUCUUUUGCCUUCUCUAUACACCCACACUUUGCAUACAUAUUAACUAGUGCUGUAUUAAGCUCAAGAUCAAUAUCAAUCUUCCUUUUAUUGAUAUACGCAUGAAUCCACUUCCCUAUAUCCAGUGCUCCAGCCAUGGCACAAGCAGAAAUCACACCAACCAAUGAAACUUCAUCAGGUUCAAUACCGACCCCCUGCAUUUGCCUAAACAUACUCAAAGCCUCAUUGACCAUUCCCACCCUUGCAUACCCAGUUAUCAUUGCACUCCAGGAAACCAAAUUCCUCUCGGUAAUUUCAUCAAACAUCUUUCUAGCAAGCUUUAUUUCCUCACACUUGGCGUAAAAAUUGACCAAUGAAGAUUGCACAUAAGGGUUUAACGUAAACCCAGAUCGUAAAAUACGAGCAUGGACUUGCUGACCCUCUUCAAGCGCCAUUAUAGCUGAGCACGCUUUGAGUACAAAAGCCAUAGUGAAAGUGUUCGGACUUGGGUAGCCUCUUGUAACCAUCCUUUUGUACAAAUAAAAGGGUUCUUUUGAUGGGGUUUUAGUAUAGAAACAACCCCUUAUAAUGGUAUUGUAAGCAAAAAUGCCUGGGUUUGGAAUUUGAGAGAAAACUUUGCGUGCGUAGUCGAAGUUCCCAAAGAAAGAUAGAGCGGAGAAGGAGAGGACUUUGGAGAGCAAGAAGGAAACAGUGGAGAAAGGAAGGAGAUGUGUAAGGAUACGCGCAUGGAUUUGGCUGAGAAUGAACAUGCUGGGGCAUUUUCGGAUGAGAAAAACGAUUCGCUUUUCUUCUUCUUCCAGCUCUUCUUCUCGUUCUUCUUCUUCUUCUGCUUCUUCAGGGAUCAAUAGGGGCUUUGCGUAAAAGUGGAGUUCAGCCCCCCAAUUUGGUCCCUUGUGCUUUCUGGCGAGCGUUUAAUAGUGUGUGAUGAGGUGGCCUUACGGAAAGUCUUGGGCUGUUUUAAAGGUAACACCCGACUGAAGGUUAAAAAUGAUGUUUGGUGAUAGUCUUAGAGGAUAUCGACUCUGUUUCUUCGUCGUUUGGAGACUUCUGAGAGAGCUCAACCUUUGCUCGGUUUCUGAUUUCAGGCUCCUCACCCCCUCAGGCGGUAGAGAUGAAUUCUUGGCUACUAGAGCGUUUGUCUUCGGCUCCUUCGAGUUUUUGAGUUGUUUUCACUGUUGUUGGUUUUGGCUGGG